UACAGAAUUUGACCGAGCCGCCA
rnacentral:siRNA from 1 species